rnacentral:rRNA from 1 species
AGAGUUUGAUCCUGGCUCAGGAUGAACGCUAGCUACAGGCUUAACACAUGCAAGUCGAGGGGAAACGACAUCGAAAGCUUGCUUUUGAUGGGCGUCGACCGGCGCACGGGUGAGUAACGCGUAUCCAACCUGCCCACCACUUGGGGAUAACCUUGCGAAAGUAAGACUAAUACCCAAUGACGUCUCUAGAAGACAUCUGAAAGGGAUUAAAGAUUUAUCGGUGAUGGAUGGGGAUGCGUCUGAUUAGCUUGUUGGCGGGGUAACGGCCACAAGGCUACGACCAGUAGGGGUUCUGAGAGGAAGGUCCCCCANAUUGGAACUGAGACACGGUCCAAACUCCUACGGGAGGCA